GCACAGAAGUAGCAUCAAUAGACGUCUACUACGCCAUUGGCCCCAUCUGGUUAGAAUCACAUCAUCAAAAUUAGAGCUGGAGUAGACCUUCCAGGUCAUCCCCGGAACACCUUGCCAACACAACAAUCAUCUUUUUGAGGACCAGGGACCAAGUGGAAGAAAGAAAAACUUUUGGAAAAAACAAGGAAAAUAAAUCAAUUUGCCUGUGAUCUCCUUGAAGACAAGCACCACAUUUUCUCUAUUGUUGGGUAUCCAGUACUUAGCAACAUGCCUGGCAUUUGAUGGGGAUGGCAAUGAAACUCUAGAGAACUCCAGUCACAAGCUGAUUCUCUCACUGCCUCAGAUUUGGACUAACUCCCAUCGAGGUUAUUGACUCAUUCUCCUUCCCAAAAAACAAAAGCUUCUCUGGCACAUCACUGAGAACAGGUCAGCCUCACUACUUGAUCAUCUCUAAUGAUAGAGCACACAUUGCUUCAAAAGCUUUCUCAACCUACUGUUAGAAUGGCCAGCUUGUCCUCUUUUCCAAGAACAUUUCUGGCUUCACAAGUGAAAGUCCUACAUCUUGGGAACCCCUCAGUUUUGACCAAACUGGGAAGGCUAGUCACCCUAUUAUUGCUGAACGAUGGAAAUUAUUAAUUUCCAACUUAAAUGAAAUGACAUGUGCCUUACUAUAACUUCCAACUAGUUUCUAUUAUUCAACCAAAAUUGGUUUCUUGGUGAUAUUUGAUUGUCUCUGGUUUUCUACAGCUACCAAAGUCUGAGGCAAAAUACUACCAUAAACUAUGAGAUCAAUAGAUCAUAGACCUAAACUUUUCAUCUUUGGGUUAGACAGGGUCUGAUGACA